rnacentral:rRNA from 1 species
UACAGAGGUCCCAAGCGUUGUUCGGAUUCACUGGGCGUAAAGGGUGCGUAGGCGGUCGGGUAAGUCUGAUGUGAAAUCUCACAGCUUAACUGUGAAACUGCAUUGGAUACUAUCCGGCUCGAGGAAUGGAGGGGAGACUGGAAUACUUGGUGUAGCAGUGAAAUGCGUAGAUAUCAAGUGGAACACCAGUGGCGAAGGCGGCUCACUGGACCAUAACUGACGCUGAUGCACGAAAGCUGGGGGAGCAAACAGG